rnacentral:rRNA from 1 species
GUCUAAAAUGACUCUCGGCAACGGAUAUCUCGGCUCUUGCAUCGAUGAAGAACGUAGCGAAAUGCAAUACUUGGUGUGAAUUGCAGAAUCCCGUGAACCAUCGAGUCUUUGAACGCAAGUUGCGCCCGAAGCCAUUAGGCCAAGGGCACGCCUGCCUGGGUGUCACUAA